rnacentral:rRNA from 1 species
UACAGAGGUCUCAAGCGUUGUUCGGAUUCAUUGGGCGUAAAGGGUGCGUAGGUGGCGCCGUAAGUCGGGUGUGAAAUUUCGGAGCUUAACUCCGAAACUGCAUUCGAUACUGCGGUGCUUGAGGACUGGAGAGGAGACUGGAAUUCAUGGUGUAGCAGUGAAAUGCGUAGAGAUCAUGGAGGAAGACCAGUGGCGAAGGCGGGUCUCUGGACAGUUCCUGACACUGAGGCACGAAGGCCAGGGGAGCAAACGGG